rnacentral:rRNA from 1 species
GAUGAACGCUGGCGGCGUGCCUAAUACAUGCAAGUCGAGCGAACGGACGAGAAGCUUGCUUCUCUGAUGUUAGCGGCGGACGGGUGAGUAACACGUGGAUAACCUACCUAUAAGACUGGGAUAACUUCGGGAAACCGGAGCUAAUACCGGAUAAUAUUUUGAACCGCAUUGUUCAAAAGUGAAAGACGGUCUUGCUGUCACUUAUAGAUGGAUCCGCGCUGCAUUAGCUAGUUGGUAAGGUAACGGCUUACCAAGGCAACGAUGCAUAGCCGACCUGAGAGGGUGAUCGGCCACACUGGAACUGAGACACGGCCCAGACUCCUACGGGAGGCAGCAGUAGGGAAUCUUCCGCAAUGGGCGAAAGCCUGACGGAGCAACGCCGCGUGAGUGAUGAAGGUCUUCGGAUCGUAAAACUCUGUUAUUAGGGAAGAACAUAUGUGUAAGUAACUGUGCACAUCUUGACGGUACCUAAUCAGAAAGCCACGGCUAACUACGUG